UCAGUUCUCCUUGAAUUAAAU
ensembl:piRNA 21ur-11659 ncRNA